rnacentral:rRNA from 1 species
CAGUAGCCGCGGUAAUACGUAGGGUGCGAGCGUUAAUCGGAAUUACUGGGCGUAAAGCGCACGUAGGCGGACUUUUAAGUCAGGGGUGAAAUCCCGGGGCUCAACCCCGGAACUGCCUUUGAUACUGGAAGUCUUGAGUAUGGUAGAGGUGAGUGGAAUCCCGAGUGCAGAGGUGAAAUUCGUAGAUAUUCGGAGGAACACCAGUGGCGAAGGCGGCUCACUGGACCAUUACUGACGCUGAGGUGCGAAAGCGUGGGGAGCAAACAGGAUUAGAGACCCCCGUAGUCCCUGUCUCUUAUAC